UUUCGCGGGACGAUGCUUCUCGAAUGAAACAAUGUUCUUCGCAGGCUCUUCUUCUUCUUCUUAUUCUUAUUCUUCUUCUUCUUCCUCAUCAUCUUUGUUAACACAAUGAGAGAAAGAGGGAGAUGAGUGUAGGGUGGGAGAUUAGACGAUGAUGUUUUUUUUAUGGUGCAUGCAAAAGAGUUACAAAAGAGAGAGGGUGGGAGAUUAAUGGAGGAGGGGAGUGGAUUAAAGUUAUAAAGCCUACUCAUUGAUAGAAUAUAAAUAUGGUGCAUGUAAUUAAAUGUUACACAUUGCAUGUAAUUAGAGGAGUGGGGAGGUGAAGGUUUGAGUGUUGAGAAGAGGAGAAGGUGGUUUGAUUUAAAGUUGGGCUAUGCGAAUGAAGGGUAACAUGUCACGUGACAAAAAGUAUUGUGGCUUCAUAUAGGUUGAUAGAAUAUUAAUAUGGUGCAUAUAAUUAAAUAUUGCACUUUUCAUGUAAUUAGAGGAGUGGGGUGGUGAAGGGUUGGGUGUUGAGAAGAGGAGAAUGUGGUUUGAUUUAAAGUUGGGCUAUAACAAUAAAGGGUAACAUGCCACGUGGCAAAAAGUAUUGUGGCUUCAUACCAAGGCUUCGAUACUAUAGUCUCAUUUUUUAUUUUAUGAUAUUCAAAUUAGUGAUCCAUAUUAUAAAACUAAUUUAAAGCAUUUGAAGUUCGUAGAAAUAAAAUUUUAGAUUUAUUUUUGACAUUGUUUACGUAUGAUCAAACAAUUUUAAAAUUGCUAAUUUUCAAUGGCUAUUAUAACGAGUUUGUAGUUUAACGGUGUAGAAGAAAUAUAAAUUUAUUUAAAUUUUGAAAAAAAAAUAUAUUAAACUAUCUAGAGUAAGGUUAAAAUUGCUAAUUUUCAAUGGCUAUUAUAACGAGUUUGAUAUCAAAACUAGUAGAAGAAAUAUAAAUUUAUUUAAAUUUUGAAAAAAAAAUAUAUUAAACUAUCUAGAGUAAGGUUUACAUUAUUGAUUCUGAAUUUAAAUA
rnacentral:lncRNA from 1 species